UCCCUGGCAGUCCAGUGGCUAGGACUUAGUAUUUCCAUUGCCAGGGCCCCAGGUUCAAUUCCUGGCCAGGGAG
rnacentral:tRNA from 1 species